GGAAGUAAAAGUCGUAACAAGAUCUCCGUUGGUGAACCAGCGGAGGGAUCAUUACAGGACUCGCAAGACUCCUACAACCCUGUGAACUUAACUAUAAGCACGUUGCUUCGGCGGGUGUCUCGGAGGGGGUUCUCCCUCCCCGAGACGCUAAACCCGCCGGCAGCCUACUAUACUCUGUCUCUUUGCGUUGGCAUCUCGAGUACAAUCAAACAAGUUAAAACUUUCAACAACGGAUCUCUUGGUUCUG
rnacentral:misc_RNA from 1 species